rnacentral:rRNA from 1 species
GAUGAACGCUAGCGGGAGGCUUAACACAUGCAAGUCGAGGGGUAACAGGCUGGAAUUUCGGUUUCGGUGCUGACGACCGGCGAACGGGUGAGUAACGCGUAUGCAACCUGCCUUUUACAGGGGGAUAGCUUUCGGAAACGGAAAUUAAUACCCCAUAACACUGCACUGUGGCAUCACAGAGCAGUUAAAGCUUCGGUGGUAAAAGAUGGGCAUGCGUAACAUUAGCUAGUUGGUGAGGUAACGGCUCACCAAGGCUGCGAUUUUUAGGGGACCUGAGAGGGUGAUCCCCCACACUGGUACUGAGACACGGACCAG